GCUAUGGUAGUUCAGUGGUAGAGUUCUCACCUUCCAUGCUGGAGACCCAGCUUCGAGUUCUGGCCAGUGCA
rnacentral:tRNA from 1 species